AAGUGAUCCGCCUGCCCUGGCCUCCCAAAGUGCUGGGAUUACAGAUGUGAGCCACCACGCCCAGCCAUGCUCGAUGAUUCUUGACGGGCCCUGGAUCCAGCUGACAGCCACCCGGGAGCCGCACCACGGGGAAUGCUGCGUAGGUUCUCAAGUGCACAUCUCACAGCUUCGCUGACAGGACAGCAAAGGACCAGAGAGAGGAAGUAACUCACCCAAGGCCCUUCAGGUGACUGGUGCACAGCCUGGGCAGAAGCCAAGUUUCCUGAUUCUGAGGCCAUUCAGGGUUGACCUCGCCCCCAAAUCAUCAGGUGCAUCCUUGGUGAUUUCUCCCUAGAAUGCUUGGUUGCAUUCGGCUCUAUCUUUCUUUGGCCCUAAGAGCCUUUCUCCUGCCCUCCUGGCCCCAGUACCCUUGACCUGUUUCUGCAAUCAUGGCUGCAGGCUGUUUCCCAGGUGCUCAAUGGCCCCCUCUGCGGAGCUGUUUCCAGGACUGACCAGGUAAAUUGGAGAGCCAGAACUGGGGGUGAGGGUAUGAACACAAAAGGCCUAAUGUGUGUUUGUAUGUGUAUGUAUGUGGACACUCGUGAGGUAUGUACUUAUAGGCAUUUGCCUUAACUCCUCUAUCCCCUCGUCCCCAUCCCAGGUCAUCCUUGGGCAGAUCCUCUUUUGCUUUGAGACAGAGUUUAAUACUCCCUU
rnacentral:lncRNA from 1 species